AGUUCUGCAGAUUUCAGGGGAUUACCCUGUGCUCCCUUUGCAGUGCACUGAGCUGGAAUCCCUGCAGCUGUAAAAAUGUUAUUCUUGUGUGGGGAGAAAAGAAUCCUCAAUCCCACAGUCAAAAGAGGCAAUAUCUCUGCCAGUUUUCUGCAUAAAAAUUCAGUGGUUAGAGCACUCACUUUGGAGAAAAGGGGUUUUUUUAGGGUUCUUAGCACAACAGAAUCCUACUCACACCUUCCAUCAUUCUGAAGAAUGUAACCUGAGCUAUCAAUUGUGAUGAAUUGUUUUAAAUAAUGUUUAUGAAUUCACAGUUAGGGAAUAAACACCAUUUGGGCAAAUCCUGAGUGUAAAUGAAGGACAUAGUACUGAGAGCCCAGAGCUCAGGCUGAAUGCAGGUGAGCUACAUACUAGCUGGGUUACUAAGUUCAUGUCUCACCUUCUUCCCUCUUCCUCUCCUCAGCCUUCCAUGAAGAAUUCAUUUCUUUCUGAAUGCUACAGGGUGAAAAGGUUCCACUCUUCUGAGAUGCAUACCCAAGUCUGUGUUCUGGAGCUUGGACAUUGUAAGGAUGGCAGGAGAUGUAGCCUUGACAUUAAUGAGCUCCUGCUGGCUCUUCUGUACUUCAGACAUUUGGGGACCCCAUGACAACUGAGGCUUUUUAGAGAAAAACCUGCUCCAAGCUUGAUAUUUCCUGCAGACACCAUGAGGCCUCUGGCAGAGCUUGGCUUAGUACUCAAAGGAAGCAAACUGAACAUGAAGGCUUGAUAACAUCUGAUCCAAGUCCUUGGAGCAUACCCCAGCAUACGGUAACCUGUGUGAUGAGGGACAUGUCAGAUGCACCAUUUGGACAAAGAAGGUGACCCAAACUAGCCCACAGACCACAUUUGGAGGCUUUGAAACUAUACAUAGAUAAAUAAAACAGCUGAACAGCUGUAUGUCACAUAGCUGCUGGUGACCUUGUAUUUCCAGUCUAUCCCAAAAGGUUUUGCAGACUCCAUUUUUAUUUGAAGCCCGGCUGCGAAGUACAUCCUACCUUUUUUCUUUUUCUUUUUUUUUUUUAAUUACCCCCUUCAGUAUCCCCCUUCUGACUAUCAAGGAAAAGCCUUUCAUCAGUGACUUGCUGAAGUCUAGGUGCGGUUUCUUUUCUCCUUUUCUAUUUUUUUUUUGUGCCUGAUGAUGAGCAUUUUGAAAAUAAACAUGGAAUCUGAAUACAUGAGCAAAUCCAUUUGGGCACCUGCUUCUUGAAAGAGAGGAAG